CUAAGGUAUCCACCAAGGAUCAUGAAUGUGAACAAGAUAAUGAAUCACUGUCUACUUACUCUUUUGGAAAAGCUUCCAUAUCUCUGCCAAUUGAAUCACACUAUAACCAGUCCCAGGCAAUUCAGGAUGACAAGUUCCACUUCGAACAGUUCUGGGAGUCAUCCUGAGGGUCCCUGUGUAUAGACAUAAAAAGUUCCAUUUGUUCUUACACAGUGAAAAUGACAGAACAAAUAUUAUGGGGAUUAUGCCUGGGGAAAAAAAAUCUGUCUCUGGAUAUUCCUGACACUAUGGAGAGAAAAUCAGCAAAAUUUAGAAUCUUGGAUCUCUUCCACUCACACUAGGAUGUUGUUUCUAGAAAUCUCCCUGAAGUAUGGUACUGACUCUUGGUGGUAAAAGUGGAGAGGCUUAGAACUGAAAUCUGGUCAGUAGAAGACUGAGGGUUAAAAGUGGACGGUCAACCCAUUGAAUGAAGGCCUAGCAGGAAAUAGAGAGACAAAAAUACAGGCAUUAAGGGAAUAAUAGCUGAAUAGUAAUAAUAAUACAUUAUGUCAACAGCGGUGACAAAGGAAACACUCAAUGUAUUUAUAGAGCUAAAUAAACGGCAGAUCUAGGUCCUACGUUUUGACUCUGAACAACCUUCUCGGUUGGAUUUUGCUUCUGCCUAAGGAUUAUUUUGGAAAGAGCUAUUAUUAUCCGUGAUUUAUCACGCUGCACUGGGGGGAACUCAUACUUUCCACGGAGACAAUUACUGAAUUCUCACUGGAGGCGCUUAAAGGAGCCAGGACCUGUUCUGAGGGUUCAGGUGGGAAAGGUGUGCCAGCAGGGGACUGCAGCCUGGCACCAUGGGACGUGUGUGCUGUUGACCACUUCUGUGCCCAGAUGCCUCAGGCGCUUUCUCAUUAGAUGCACCCUUCAAUCUCCUGGUUAUUGAAACAGGACUGGGGAGAGGAGUUCACAUUUAUGGUGAGCCCAUGCAAGAAGACCCUCCGACAGGUGCCUGUCACCCCUGAGGAGUCACUGGUUGCAGCCCGUUCUGAAGUGUCAUUGAGAUAGAAACCAAGUCAAAGCCGUGGCCUAGAAAGAGAGUCUGGGCAGAAUUCUGCAAGCAGAUUCUUUAUUUGAGAUCACCUGACCCCACAUGCUUCCUGCAUCCUCACUUCAUCUGUUCAUGUUGGGGAGGCUGCACUUAAGAUCCUGUUAUUUGGAGUUUGAUCAUGGACAGGACUUGUGAUGUCACAUGUCAACGGUAGCUGCACCUACUAAAAAAUUUAUCUUUGUUGUUUAAGCAAUAGAGGUGCCAAGUGUCCGCGAAAGGGAAAAGCUGAAAAGUUGAUGAACUAAGCAUGACGUUACUGGAAAUGGAAAAACUGUAGAUUCCUGACUGAAGAAAAAUUAUAUUUACUUACUUAGUUAUUUAUACAUAGAAAAGAGACCAUAUCUUAAAACAAGUGUUACUUGAGAGUGGUUUUCAAGGAUUUCUACUUUUUGUAAAAAACUUAAUUUGGGAGGGUGGGAAGUAAUGCUUUUAAUUUUAAAAAAAUUUAUUGAGUAAUAAUUUAUGUAUCAUGAAAUUUGUCUAAUUUAAGUGAAUAAUUCAAUUAUUUUUUGUACAUUUACCCAUUUGUGCAAUCAUGAAAACAAUCCAGUUUUAGAACAGUUUCAUCGCCCUAGUAAGAUUCCCCAUGCCCAUUUAUAGUCAAUUCCUAUUUUCGCUCUAGCCCCAGGCAACCACUGAUCUACUUUCUCUCUCUAUGUAUUCAUCUAUUCUGGACAAUUAAUAUAAAUGGAAUCAUACAGUAUGUGGUCCUUUAUGUCUAGUUCCUUUCAUUUAGCAUUACGUUUUUGAGGUUCAUCCGUGUUGUAGCAUGUAUCAGUAUUCAUUCCUUUUUUAUCACUGAAUAAUAUUCCAUACUACAGACAUACCACAUUUUAUCCAUUUACCAGUUGAUAGAUAUUUAGUCUUUUUUCCAUAUUUGGCUAUUAUGAAUAAUUUCUUACACUAGAGUGUAACUUGUUUGGUUCCCAGUCUCAAAGCCCAAUGGAGCACAAAUAUAAAUUUAAAUGUAUGAUUAUAUACUAAAUUUGAACAAGUGGUUUGUCAGAAGUGAAAAUACCUUCUACAAUCAACACACAUACAUUGAGUACUUGUUAUGUAUUAAACACUAUUUGAUAUUGUGGAGAAUAUGGUUAAGAUACAGAUGGUUCCCAUUCAAAUGUAGCUUCUAUUCUAUUUGAGGGAGACAGAGUAAGACAGGGAGAGAGGGAGAGAAGGAAGGAAGGAAAGAAGGAAGGAGAAGAAAGAGAAAAGGGGAAAAGGAGUAAUGACAAGUGUUAUGAAGACAAUGAAAUUAAUUAAAAUUAAUAAG
rnacentral:lncRNA from 10 species